rnacentral:rRNA from 1 species
CCUACGGGAGGCAGCAGUGGGGGAUAUUGGACAAUGGGGGGAACCCUGAUCCAGCGACGCCGCGUGAGUGAAGAAGUAUUUCGGUAUGUAAAGCUCUGUCAGCAGGGAAGAAAGAAAUGACGGUACCUGACCAAGAAGCCCCGGCUAACUACGUGCCAGCAGCCGCGGGAAUACGUAGGGGGCAAGCGUUAUCCGGAAUUACUGGGUGUAAAGGGAGCGUAGACGGUUAAGUAAGUCUGGAGUGAAAGGCCGGGGCCCAACCCCGGGACUGCUCUGGAAACUAUUGAACUUGAUUGCAGGAGAGGUAAGCGGAAUGCCUAGUGUAGCGGUGAAAUGCGUAGAUAUUAGGAGGAACACCAGUGGCGAAGGCGGCUUACUGGACUGUAACUGACGUUGAGGCUCGAAAGCGUGGGGAGCAAACAGGAUUAGAUACCCCAGUAGUC